rnacentral:tRNA from 1 species
GGGGAUAUAGCUCAGUUGGUAGAGUGCUUGCCUCACAUGUACAAGGAUCUGGGUUCAAUCCCCAGCACCA